CUGAUUUAUAGCUUUCCCUAUAUUCUUCAUCCAUUUGUAUGUAUCUCAAAUGCUUUCAUGUACUUGAAAUACUUUAUCAUAAUGAUGCAGAACUUUGCUGGAACAUUGAGAAAUCUGGCUUGAACCUGACCUGUGCUGGCAGUGGAUUGCAGCUUGCAGCAGCCCACAUGAAAUGAGCUGAAAAUCUGCUUCCAAGUGAACGAGGGCUGCUUUGGAGAACUCUACCCCAGAUAACCCCCAAACUGGCAGCCUGGGAAGGAAGUGAAUGAACAUGGGUGCUGAGUCACUUUUCACUUUCUUUGCUGUGAACAGGUAACAGAUCCAAAGAAACCCAUUUGGAUACUCAGCAGAAAAACUUGUGAAAAUACCCCUCCUUCUCUCAUGCCUUCCUCCUCCUCUCCCCAGCACGCAAACUGUUACUGGUGUGAUGGGGGACCACACUGGAAGCUUGCACUUUCAGACCCAGGGACAGAGCACUUCCCUUUGCAAGGCAGCCAAAUGAAGCCCUGCCGGAGCCAAGAGCUGGGAUGCACUCAUCACCCACAGCCAGCAGCGCUUGGGGCCCGUCUGCUCAGGAACAGGCACCUGGAGACCCAAGUCUUUACUGUGGCUGCAUCUGCUGAAACUGGGGGUGUAAGAGAGGGAGAAGUGUGAUUUACACUGGUGGAGCUUACUGCUGAACUCACUGGUGUUGUGUGAGCCCUGCUUUUGCUUCCUUGGUGCACCUUUAUGUGAAUGGAGCAGGACUGGAAGACAGUUCAGCAGCCAUCUGAGUUGGGAGAAGGCAAAGCCAGUGACAGAACACAGCCCCUUCUUGGAGAUUGCACCGGAAGUGUCAGGCUGCUCCUCAGUGGCAGGUCUGUGUUUCCUCUGCCCCGACAGUUGUUCUUACACUCUCCUUUCUGCCACACUGGCCCAGCUCACAACCUGGUAACCACAACCAAAAAACAAAAGUAUUCUCUAGCUGAAUCAGUUUU
ensembl:lncRNA